rnacentral:tRNA from 2 species
GUCUCCGUGGCGCAAUUGGCUAGCGCGUCUGACUGUUAAUCAGGAGGUUCCUGGUUCGAGCCCAGGCGGGGACG